CCAAUAGCGUAUAUUAAAGUUGUUGCAGUUAAAAAGCUCGUAGUUGAACUUCAGGCCUGGCUGGGCGGUCCGCCUUCCGGGCGAGUACUGCCUGUGGUCGGGUCCUACCUUCUGGCGAAGCGUCAUGGCCUUAACCGGCCGUGGCGGGGAACCAGGACUUUUACUGUGAAAAAAUUAGAGUGUUCAAAGCAGGCACGCGCUUGAAUACAUUAGCAUGGAAUAAUGGAAUAGGACAGUGGUUCUAUUUGUUGGUUUCUAGGACCGUUGUAAUGAUUAAUAGGGAUAGUUGGGGGCAUUAGUAUUCAAUUGUCAGAGGUGAAAUUCUUGGAUUUAUUGUAGACUAACUACUGCGAAAGCAUUUGCCAAGGAUGUUUUCAUUAAUCAAGAACGAAAGUUAGGGGAUCGAAGACGAUCAGAUACCGUCGUAGUCUUAACCAUAAACUAUGCCGACUAGGAAUCGGGCGAUGUUGACAAAAUGACGCGCUCGGCACCUCAUG
rnacentral:rRNA from 1 species